UGGGGAUGCACUGUAACCUCACAGCUCGU
rnacentral:piRNA from 1 species